rnacentral:rRNA from 1 species
GACAGAUAGUGCAAGCGUUAUUCGGAUUGAUUGGGCGUAAAAGGUAUGUAGGUGGCUAUUUAAAAAGAAGUGCGAAAUACUAGAGUAUAACUGUAGGUAGGUAUUUUUACAAUUAUUUAGCUAAGAGUUAGGGAGAGGUCGAUACAAAUUCUGUUGUAGGGUUAAAAUUCCGCAAUAACGGAACGAAUGCCGAAGGCGAAGGCAUCCGUCCAGCCUUAACUGACGCUGAGGUACGAAAGCAUGGGGAGCAAACAGG